CUGGUCUCAAACUCCUGACCUCAGGUGAUCCGCCUGCCUUGGCCUCCCAAAGUGCUGGGAUUACAGGCUUGAGCCACUGUGCCAGGCCAAGUAUAUUUUUAAUUAAUGUAUUCAUUAUAAUACAAUUUACUACAAAUUUGAGGGAGGAGGCUUUCCAUAUGGAGUUUAAGAUAUUCUUUUAAGAGAUGGGGGUCUUGCUAUGUUACUGAUAUGGUUUGGAUGUCUGUCACUUCCAAAUCUCACGUUGAAAUGUAAUCCCCAAUGUUGGAGGUAGGGCCUAGUGGGAGGUAUUGAAUCAUGGAGCAAAUCCUUCAUGAAUGGCUUGGCACCAUCACCUUAGUGAUGAGUGAGUUCUUAGUUCACGUGAAAUCUACUUGUUUAGAGUCUGGGACCUCCUCCUUCUCUCUCUUGCUGCUUCUCUCACCAUGUUACAUGCUCGCUCCCAUUUUGCCCUCUGCCACAAUUGUAAGCUUCCUGAGGCCCUCAUCAGAAGCAGCUGCUGGUGCCAUGCUUUGUGUACAGCCUGCAGAACGGAACAGACAUUCUCAAGCAAGCAAGAACUCAAGGAAUACAGGCACCCAUGAGCCACCUUUGGGAAAAGCAAAACAAUAAAGGCGACAACAAAAUGAAUUAAAGAAAGAAUUCAAAUGAAAAAAACAUUACCUCAGAAACGAAAAUUGAAGGACUGGUAAAAUGUUAAGGAAUAACUCCUUUUGUAGUAAAGAAAGAUUUAAUUGAAGUUAAAAGUGAAAUUCUUCCAAUUUUACUUUGAUUUCUUUUCAGCUAAUUUCAAGAAAAUUAAACUCUGGUAAAUAAAAACUGCAUGUACAGUAUGAUCUCAUUUUUGUUUGACUAUUCAGCCAUCUUGCUUUGCUCUCUGUAUAAAUGGAGAGAUGAUUAUGAUGUUUUAUCAAUACCUGUUUUGGGGUAGUGGGAUUUUAGGUAAUGUUAUACUUUCUUCCUCAUGUUCUUUUCUGUAUUGGUAGAAGUUUUUUUGGGGGGUGGGAUGGAGUCUCGCUCUGUCUC